CAGGAAAUCGAGUGACAAUUCAGUUUACAACCACUGAGAAUGCUCCUGACAGGACAACAGCAGGGGAGGGGACAACUCCACCUGCAGACACGGGGAACUCGGACGUCCCGGUGCUGGUUCCGGUCCAAGAUCAGAAUAUUUCUCAAACAUUCAACGGAAAUGUCAUUCGAAUUGGAGCAGUGAUAUUCAUCCCAGGCCUGAUCAUCAUUGUAAUUCUUGUACUGAGGUCCCGUCAGCAGAAGCAGCGCAGAAGUGUUGUGCAGUAUGACCACAGCGCCCCCACUGUCCAGAUCAGAAACGGAGCCUCCCGUGGGUGUGGGAAGUCCCCAUAUCUCAGCAUCAACAGAAAGUGUUAAAGGAGUAACAUGGUGGUUGAACGUGACACUUCCCAGUUGUCUUUAGGCAACAACAAAACAAAUGUGCAUA